UACAGAGGGCUCAAGCGUUAAUCGGAAUCACUGGGCUUAAAGGGUCCGCAGGCGGACAAGCAAGUAUCCUGUGAAAUACCAUGGCUCAACCAUGGAAUUGCUCGGUAAACUGCUUGUCUUGAACACGGUAGGGGCCAUCGGAACUCUAGGUGGAGCGGUGAAAUGCGUAGAUAUCUAGAGGAACGCCAGAGGCGAAGGCGGAUGGCUGGGCCGUUGUUGACGCUCAGGGACGAAAGCGUGGGUAGCAAACGGG
rnacentral:rRNA from 1 species